GAAAGUCCCUCCUCCUCCUCCCCCGUUUCCUUGCCGUUGAGCCCGCCUUCCUCUCACGUGCCCUAGUUUCCUCUGACCCGCUCCUCCCUCCUUCUUCCUCUCGACUCCAUAUUGAGGCUGAAGGAGGCAAAAUCCAGUCACAAAAUGGAGGUUAAAAGGAGCAACUGAGUCAGAACACACUCCCAAAAUGGCGUGUAAAGAGGAGAGAGAGGCUGAAGAUUACAAGAGAAGGGGAAGAAGAUCUUCACAGGGCCAUGAUCCUAAAGAACCAGAACAAUUGAGAAAGCUGUUUAUUGGUGGCUUGAGCUUUGAAACUACAGAUGAUAGCCUAAGAGAGCACUUCGAAAAAUGGGGAACGCUCACAGAUUGUGUGGUGAUGAGAGACCCACAGACAAAACGCUCUCGAGGCUUUGGUUUUGUGACCUACUCUUGUGUGGAAGAAGUGGAUGCUGCAAUGGCAGCUCGACCACAUAAAGUUGAUGGCCGUGUGGUAGAGCCAAAGAGAGCCGUUUCUAGAGAAGAUUCUGUGAAACCUGGUGCUCAUUUAACAGUGAAGAAAAUAUUUGUUGGUGGGAUUAAAGAAGACACAGAAGAAUAUAAUUUAAGAGAUUAUUUUGAAAAAUAUGGCAAAAUUGAAACCAUAGAAGUAAUGGAAGACAGGCAGAGUGGAAAGAAAAGAGGUUUUGCCUUUGUGACAUUUGAUGAUCAUGAUACAGUAGACAAAAUUGUUGUUCAGAAAUACCACACUAUAAAUGGGCAUAACUGUGAAGUGAAGAAAGCUCUCUCCAAGCAAGAAAUGCAGACUGCAACUGCACAAAGAAGUCGUGGGAGUAGUUCAAGCAACUUCAUGGGUCGUGGAAACUUUGGAGGCAGUGGUGGAAAUUACAACAGAGGUGGAAGUUUUGGUGGUAGAGGAGGCUAUGGCAGUGGAGGUGGUGGCAGCAGUAGAGGAAGCUUUGGGAGUGGCGAUGGAUAUAAUGGUUUUGGUGAUGGUGGAAACUAUGGUGGUAGCCCUGGGUAUGGUAGCCGAGGUGGUUAUGGUGGUAGCCCAAGCUAUGGAAAUCCAGGUGGUGGAUAUGGUGGAGGAGGUGGAGGCUACGAUGGUUAUAAUGAAGGAGGAAGCUUUGGAGGCAAUUAUGGUGGUAGUGGAAGCUACAACGAUUUUGGCAACUACAGUGGACAGCAGGCCUCAAGUUACGGACCCAUGAAAGGAAGUGGCAGUUUCAGUGGCAGAAGUUCAGGCAGUCCCUAUGGUGGUGGCUAUGGAUCGGGAGGAGGAAGUGGUGGCUAUGGUGGAAGAAGAUUCUAAAAACUGUAGCAGGAUGAUGAUUGUUGAAGAAACCUCUGUGACCAGAGGUGGAUAUCUUACUGGAAAACUCUUGCUUGGUAAGAGUGUAACACUGAUGUUUCUUUGACUGUAUUCUGAGGUCUGAAAAUCGAGUAUUGGAGAUGAGAACAAACAGGGUAAAUGUGAAGUGUAUUGACAUUUAUUACUGUAUUCAAAUCAGCAUGAAUGAGCAAUAAUAAAAUUAGCUAUUUGGCAUUUAGAUCUAGAUUUCUACCAUUCAUAUUAAUUCAUACAGCUGUUACAGAGAUGGGUGUCUUACUUAAUGAGACCUUCCUGGGGUGAGGUUUGACUUGGGAUUGUGCUCACUUUCUGGCCAUUGCAGUGUAUUUGGAAAAAAAUGGAUGGUGACAAUUGUCCACCAAUAAAUGAGAAGUAGGAUUUUUAAAAUUCCUUGUGUUCAGCUAAAUUCAUGGCUUGUGAAUGGCUCAAAAAGUUGCAGUGGUCUCCGGUAGAGUUCAGUCAUCCCCUUCUGGACAGUAUGCAUUGGGUAUGGAUAGGCAAUUUUCAGACUGCAUGUAGUAAUGGCAUGAAUAAAAUGGGGGGGGGAGAUUUUUUUUGUUUGAAAAAAUAAAAAGCUUGAAACAAAACGUUUUCAAUAUUUUGAGAAGGUUUCUUUUUCCCCUUAUGAAACACAGCAUACCUUUGCUUUGUCAUAGGAAAAGGUGGGUACUCCUUGAAACAAGCUUUAUUGCCCUGCUUACCUAGAACAAAAAGUUACCAUUGUUACUGUAGCAGAACAUGUAAACAAUGGAACAAAGUGCUGUAUUUUGUUACAAUUUUGGGAACUCUUCAGAACAGUGUUUGAUUGGUUUUGCUGUUUGCAUGUCCCUGGCAUUCAGCUUCUUAAUGCUGUUACCAAAAAUUGGAAGGAACCACUAUUUCGGAGAAAGAAUUUCCCAGUGAUUUGGUGAGAGAAGUGUAUGAGGCAUCACAGAUGGUUGAAGAUACCUAAAUAACUACAUCAGGCAAAGUAAGAAAAAAAACCCACAUACAAACAACCACCUGAAAAUCCUGAACUGAAUAAUUGUGUAAUGCUUCCACCCACCCCCGCUCCUAUUGCAGGGGGGAAUGGUGCAAAAUAAUAUUGCCCUGCUCUCAUCCUAAACUCAUCUGGAAAGGAUUUGUAUUUAAACAAGUGGUUUUUCAAUUAAACAAGUAGCCAAUCUAAAGUUAGCAUUGCUGGUUUUCUAUUGGUAAUGUUUUUAAUUGCCAAAUUGCAGGCAAGAAAAUCAGUAACAUUCUCACCUGGAACACAUGAUGUGCCCUCUAAAUAACUUUCAGGUAACAAAUCCUUAAAACGAGUCUUUGGUGUCUUCUAGGCAUUGGUAAAACUCAUUCCGUAAUCCUUAAUUUUGUAAUCUAGUAUUUAGAACUCGCUUGCCUUAUUCUGUAUACUAAUUCUAAAUGUGAAAGAGUGGGUUGUGGUUGCAGAUCAUCUGCAUUUACUAGCCAUCUUGCCUUUGCCAGCAUCAUAAUCUAACUCACAAGUUACAAGCUUGUGAAGAGUUUACAAUUCCUGUGCCUAUCUACAGUUGUAUCAGAUAAACAAAUUAAGAGUAAAUGGGAACUGGCUAAUUGAAACUGAAUAUUAGAGAAUAUUUAAUAGAUUGUAUCUUGCUAUUAAUCCUAGGACUCUGAGUGGCAAAGAGCACCUAUGCUCCCCUUUUGUCUUACAAAGCAGGGUUGAGGCUAAAAUGGGUACAGUAAUCUCAGCAAUCCCCAGCAAGAUGGAAAUGGGGAUGACUAAUCCUGAAGAAACAAUCGUCUGUUUCCAUAAAUUGAAAUUUUUGAUUCUUCAGUGGAACAUGCAUACAACUGAUAGCUAUGAGAGCAAAAAUUGAAGCAUGUAAUAAUCAAAUGCUUACAAUAAAACAGUUAAUCAUGAUAGUUGGUGAAUCUCCUAA